rnacentral:rRNA from 1 species
GACGAACGCUGGCGGCGUGCUUAACACAUGCAAGUCGAACGAUGAAACCUAGCUUGCUAGGUCGAUUAGUGGCGAACGGGUGAGUAACACGUGACUAACCUGCCCCUUUCCCUGGGAUAACGCUCCGAAAGGAGUGCUAAUACCGGAUACGAACUCUGAACACAUGUUCGGAGUUGGAAAGUUUUUCGGAAAGGGAUGGAUUCGCGGCCUAUCAGCUUGUUGGUGAGGUAACGGCUCACCAAGGCGACGACGGGUAGCCGGCCUGAGAGGGCGACCGGCCACACUGGGACUGAGACACGGCCCAGACUCCUACGGGAGGCAGCAGUGGGGAAUAUUGCACAAUGGGCGCAAGCCUGAUGCAGCGACGCCGCGUGAGGGAUGAAGGUCUUCGGAUUGUAAACCUCUUUCAGUAGGGACGAAGCGAAAGUGACGGUACCUAAAGAAGAAGCACCGGCUAACUACGUGCCAGCCGCCGCGGUAA